UACGAAGGGGGCUAGCGUUGCUCGGAAUCACUGGGCGUAAAGCGCACGUAGGCGGACUCUUAAGUCGGUGGUGAAAUCCUGGAGCUCAACUCCAGAACCGCCUUCGAUACUGGGAGUCUCGAGUUCGGGAGAGGUGAGUGGAACUGCGAGUGUAGAGGUGAAAUUCUUAGAUAUGACACAGAACACCAAUUGCGAAGGCAGCUCGCUAAACUGUAACUGACGCUGAGGCACGAAAGCGUGGGGAUCAAACAGG
rnacentral:rRNA from 1 species